CAUUGAUUGGCCAGCAUUGUGAAUUCAGGAUGUCAAUUUCAGAGACAAGAGUUUCAAAUUCACUGUGAUGAAGCUGCAGGUCUGUUGCUCGCAGUUAAAGCAAAGAGUUUGGAGCGUAAAUUAUCCACCAAACUUUGAUAAAAUUGAGGGAGAUUUAUCCUCACUUGGCCUUUUGUACUCUCUGGAUUGAUGGUCACACGUUUGACAUUCCCUUUCUCCAGCG